rnacentral:rRNA from 1 species
GAUAGGCGAAGCGUGCGAUUGGAUUGCACGUCUAAGCAGUAAGGCUGAGUAUUAGGCAAAUCCGGUACUCGUUAAGGCUGAGCUGUGAUGGGGAGAAGACAUUGUGUCUUCGAGUCGUUGAUUUCACACUGCCGAGAAAAGCCUCUAGAUAGAAAAUAGGUGCCCGUACCGCAAACCGACACAGGUAGUCAAGAUGAGAAUUCUAAGGUGAGCGAGCGAACUCUCGUUAAGGAACUCGGCAAAAUGACCCCGUAACUUCGGGAGAAGGGGUGCUCUUUAGGGUUAACGCCCAGAAGAGCCGCAGUGAAUAGGCCCAAGCGACUGUUUAUCAAAAACACAGGUCUCUGCUAAACCGUAAGGUGAUGUAUAGGGGCUGACGCCUGCCCGGUGCUGGAAGGUUAAGAGGAGUGGUUAGCUUCUGCGAAGCUACGAAUCGAAGCCCCAGUAAACGGCGGCCGUAACUAUAACGGUCCUAAGGUAGCGAAAUUCCUUGUCGGGUAAGUUCCGACCCGCACGAAAGGCGUAACGAUUUGGGCACUGUCUCAACGAGAGACUCGGUGAAAUCAUAGUACCUGUGAAGAUGCAGGUUACCCGCGACAGGACGGAAAGACCCCGUGGAGCUUUACUGUAGCCUGAUAUUGAAAUUCGGCACAGCUUGUACAGGAUAGGUA